GACGAACGCUGGCGGCGUGCUUAACACAUGCAAGUCGAGCGAGUGGAUUCCCUUCGGGGAUGAAGCUAGCGGCGGACGGGUGAGUAACACGUGGGCAACCUGCCUUAUAGAGGGGGAUAGCCUUCCGAAAGGAAGAUUAAUACCGCAUAACAUCAGAUUAUCGCAUGGUAGACUGAUCAAAGGAGCAAUCCGCUAUAAGAUGGGCCCGCGUCGCAUUAGCUAGUUGGUGAGGUAACGGCUCACCAAGGCGACGAUGCGUAGCCGACCUGAGAGGGUGAUCGGCCACAUUGGGACUGAGACACGGCCCAGACUCCUACGGGAGGCAGCAGUGGGGAAUAUUGCACAAUGGGGGAAACCCUGAUGCAGCAACGCCGCGUGAGUGAUGAAGGCCUUCGGGUUGUAAAGCUCUUUGAUCAGGGACGAUAAUGACGGUACCUGAAGAACAAGCCACGGCUAACUACGUGCCAGCAGCCGCGGUAAUAC
rnacentral:rRNA from 1 species